rnacentral:rRNA from 1 species
UACGGAGGGUGCAAGCGUUAUCCGGAUUUACUGGGCUUAAAGGGUGCGUAGGCGGGCCCUUAAGUCAGUGGUGAAAGCUCCGAGCUUAACUCGGAGACUGCCAUUGAUACUAUAGGUCUUGAAUUCGGUCGAGGUUGGCGGAAUGUGUCGUGUAGCGGUGAAAUGCUUAGAUAUGACACAGAACACCGAUUGCGAAGGCAGCUAGCUAGGCCGACAUUGACGCUGAGGCACGAAAGCGUGGGGAUCAAACAGG